GCCUGGUGGCUCAGCCGGUUGAGCAUCUGACUUCAGUUCAGGUCAUGAUCUCGUGGUUUGUGAGUUCGAGCCUCUCAUCGGGCU
rnacentral:tRNA from 1 species